rnacentral:tRNA from 1 species
GGAGGGUAUAGCUCAGUGGUAGAGCACAUGCUUAGCAUGCAUGAGGUCCUGGGUUCAAUCCCCAGCACCUCCA